UUCCUCUACUUCCACAGGGACAUCUGAUAACUUCCUUUUCUUCAAUGGUGGCUCUGGUCCUGGGACUGUAUGUUCUGGGAGACCUAGGUAUUUUGACAGCUCCUUACUCAGCUCUUCAGUAAUAUAUUCUGAUAUUAACCCGUGGGCAUACCGCACGUAGUCUUCUUCAGCAUCGGUGAUUUGUUUACCGCUGACAAAUGUAGCUGAAUAUAUCCUUUCGCCUACACAUAUAUUGUUGCUUUUAAGUGCUUUCACUGUUUGAUUGACCUUUUUUUUUAACCACUUCAGUGUCUUCUCUUGGCUGUACUUGUGAAAUUUCUGACUGCCUAUUUCUUUUUCUUCUGUUAUAUGACGUACAGAUCGUUUAACACCUUCACACUUCAGUAGCAAUGGGCAAUAAGGGUACUCUGAGUCUAGCACAACUUGAUCCAGUGGCUGGAACUUUCCUUGCUGCUCUUUGUCUGCCUUUAUGAGAUAAUAAAGUAUCAGAAAUAAGGGGUCCAUCGGUGUAACAAAGAGCAGGCGUCCAUCUUGUUGAACAGUCUCACCUAUAAACCAGGAACGAUGUUCCUCAUGAAAAGCUUUUACUUCAAACAGCUGCUGUGCACCACUAUUGAAUAAGUAAAGAGUUGCUUCCCCUGUGCUUGGAUUGCGUAGUUUUGUAAACAUAGGUUCGCUGUCAGGUGUCUUAGGGGGGUCAGUAGCAGCCUCUGGUGCAAUGAGCACCCACUGGUCAGGGUGCGCGCCCGCGGGCCGCUGCUCCGCGCCGUGCAUGCUCCUCCGCCCCUGCCGGCCGCUCCCGCUGCCGCUCCCGCCGCCUCCACAACAUGGCGGCGGGGCGGGGCCGGGGCAGACCGAGGAGCGGCGGGAAAAGGCAACACGCGCCCCUCCACACGCGGUGCCAUACGGCUCCGCGCGCGGCUUCAGGGCGGCUCCACCCCGCGGGACGCAGAGGGGGGCGCGGGGAGCUGAGGUAGCUGCAUCACCCUCUCUCUCCCUCCCCUCCUGCUUGAGAAGAAUGGUACGAGCCGCUGCAGGCAGGGCGGACGGCGGCAGAGCGGCUCCGUCUCGUCACCCCGUGCGGCUUUUGGUCUUGGGGUGCGUUCUCAGCGCCUAGGCUGUGUCAGGCAUUGGCGUCCUUCUCUUACCGUUGCCCCAUCGCACGUUUUGCUUGUGGAGGGCGGUCGUGACUGCCCCGUGCCUGCUGCUGCCUGUCUGCUGAAGGCUUUGUCUUAAAGAGCCGCAGCUCCUCAGUAAGUGAUGGACGGGACGGGAACAGCUAACGUGUGAGGAGAGAGCCUGGAGAAGGGAAGGCUUAUGAGGGGAGCAAGGAAGGUUGCAUGAGGCACUUCUCGGUGGUACCUGCUGGCACCACUGGUGGCAACAGGCACGGGCUGAAAUACUGGAAAUUACAUUUAAACGUAAGAGAAAUAAACUUAUUUUAGGGCUCUAGGUUGUUGAGUGCUGGAACAGGCUGUCCUGAGAGGCUGUGGAUUCUCUCUUUGUGGAGAUUACAGAAUCAUAGAACCAUUAAGGUUGGAAAAGACCACCGAGAGCAUCCAGUCUGACCAUCAGCCCACCCCACCAUGCCCACUAACCAUGUCACUCAGUGCCACGUCUUGAACACCUCCAGAGAUGGUGACUCCAUCACCUCCCUGAGCAGCCUGUGCCACUGCAUCAUCACUUCUUCAUUCAACAGAAGAAAUGUUUCCUAAUAUCCAACCUGAACUUCUCCUGCUGCAACAUAAGGCUAUUACCUCUCAUCCUAUAAGUGUUACCUGUGAGAAGAGGCCAACCCCUGCCUCACCACAGCCUCCUGUCAGGUUGUUGUGGAGACCAAUAAGGUCUUCCCUGAGCAUCCUCCAGACCAAACAAUCCCAGUUUCCUCAGUUGCUCUCCAUAAGAUUUGUGCUCCAGACCUUCACAGCUUUGUUGCCCUUCUCUGGAUGUGCUCCAGGGCCUCAAUGUCCUUCUUGUAAUGAGUAGCCCAAAACUGAACACAAUACUCAAGGUGCAGCCUCACGGGGGCUGAGUACAGAGGGAUGAUGACCUCCCUGCUCCUGCUGGCUGCACUAUCCCUGACAGAAGACAGGAUGCUUUCUUGGCCACCUGGGCACACACUGCUGGCUCAUGUUCUGCCAGCUUUCAACUAACAUGUGUUAAAGCCCAGACUGGACACGGCCCCGAUCAAGCUGCUGUCAUUGGCCCAACUGUGAGCUGGAGUAGUGUGUCUCCAGAGGUGCAUAAUAUCCUGAUAAAUGUGUCCUGCACCUACUGAUAGUCCCAAGGAGGCAUAGUCAAGAACCAUGGAUAUGCAUACGCGUGCACGUGUACAUUAACUUAUGGUUACCAGCACAAGAACGGGCUGAUGGCCACUGUCCCAGAGAUUUAGAAGACAAACAUUAUAUGUUAUCAGAAGUAUUAAAGUAUACAUAUAAAUUGCAAAUCUCAAAGAUAUGAAACAAAUAUUAAAAACAUACUGACGUUUAUGCCCUCAAACAUAACAGAGCAAACCAAGGCCAACAUAUGCAAAACAGCUGAGUUGAUGUAAGGCUGAAAAAAAUAAUUUCCUGAAGUCAGAGCAUAUACAUUCAUAACUCUGAGAUUACAUUAAUCUAAAUUUGUUUUAUUUUAAUUUUCCUGUUUUUUUUUUUCCCUGCCUGAAGUGAGGCAGGAUAUAAAUGCC
rnacentral:lncRNA from 1 species